rnacentral:rRNA from 1 species
GAUGAACGCUAGCGGCAGGCCUAAUACAUGCAAGUCGAACGGGCGGUAGCAAUACCGCUAGUGGCGCACGGGUGCGUAACGCGUAACCAACCUGCCCAGAUCUGGGGGAUAGCCCGCCGAAAGGCGGAUUAAUACCGCAUAAACCCACAGUGUGGCAUCACAUAAUGGGUAAAGAUUUAUCGGAUCUGGAUGGGGUUGCGUAGCAUUAGCUAGUUGGCGGGGUAAUGGCCCACCAAGGCGACGAUGCUUAGGGGACCUGAGAGGGUGAUCCCCCACACUGGCACUGAGAUACGGGCCAGACUCCGACGGGAGGCAGCAGUAGGGAAUAUUGGGCAAUGGGCGAGAGCCUGACCCAGCCAUGCCGCGUGCCGGAUGAAGGCCUUCUGGGUUGUAAACGGCUUUUCUCAGGGAAGAAAACGGGGAUGCGUCCUCAACUGACGGUACCUGAGGAAUAAGCACUGGCUAACUCCGUG